UCUGUUCACAGUUGUGUUAG
rnacentral:misc_RNA from 1 species